rnacentral:rRNA from 1 species
GAUGAACGCUAGCUACAGGCUUAACACAUGCAAGUCGCGGGGCAGCAUGGGGGUUGCUUGCACUCCCCGAUGGCGACCGGCGCACGGGUGAGUAACGCGUAUCCAACCUGCCCUUCACCACGGGAUAACCCGGCGAAAGUCGGACUAAUACCGUAUGUUUUCCAUUGACGGCAUCCGAUUUGGACGAAAGGCUUGGCGGUGAGGGAUGGGGAUGCGUCCGAUUAGCCAGACGGCGGGGUAACGGCCCACCGUGGCUACGAUCGGUAGGGGUUCUGAGAGGAAGGUCCCCCACACUGGAACUGAGACACGGUCCAGACUCCUACGGGAGGCAGCAGUGAGGAAUAUUGGUCAAUGGGCGUAAGCCUGAACCAGCCAAGUAGCGUGCAGGAUGACGGCCCUAUGGGUUGUAAACUGCUUUUAUGCGGGGAUAAAGUGGCCCACGUGUGGGCUUUUGCAGGUACCGCAUGAAUAAGGACCGGCUAAUUCCGUG